UCAAAAAGAUUGUUUAAAAUGGCUGAAAAUGAGCCAACAAUUGGCUUGACCAUCACCAAUUCUAAAAAUCUUCCAUCUGACCUAAGAGCCAAUUUUUUAUAAGCUCAUACCUACCUUCUCAAGAUGUUCAAUAUCUGUCGUGCAACUCUGAAGCCUCUGUGCGUCAUAUUACAACCUCCGCUUCCAAGUAACUGCGCCACCACCAUCAGCAACACCUCUCUCUCUCAAUCAUUUUAUCAGGUGUUGUAGAACGAGAAAACGGGAGUAUGACUUUGGGGUUAAGUUUCCUCGAAGACCAUAAACCAUGAGGAAGAAGAGGUAACUGAAUGGAAUUCAGUCUUGAUGGUGUUAUUAUAAGGAUUGAAUGACGGCCCUUUUUCUAUAUAUAUACAUAUUUGUUAGUAUGUUGUGUGAUCAAUAUAAGACAAAGUG